GUGCUCACUUUGGCAGCACAUAGACUAAAAUCGGAAUGGUACAGAGAGGAGACUAGCAUGGCCCCUGUGAAAGGAUGACAUGCAAAUUUGUGAAGCUUUCCAUAUUUUU
ensembl:snRNA U6 U6 spliceosomal RNA